GGGUUGUGAGGUUAAGCGACUAAGCGUACACGGUGGAUGCCCUGGCAGUCAGAGGCGAUGAAGGACGUGCUAAUCUGCGAUAAGCGUCGGUAAGGUGAUAUGAACCGUUAUAACCGGCGAUUUCCGAAUGGGGAAACCCAGUGUGAUUCGUCACACUAUCAUUAACUGAAUCCAUAGGUUAAUGAGGCGAACCGGGGGAACUGAAACAUCUAAGUACCCCGAGGAAAAGAAAUCAACCGAGAUUCCCCCAGUAGCGGCGAGCGAACGGGGAGCAGCCCAGAGCCUGAAUCAGUGUGUGUGUUAGUGGAAGCGUCUGGAAAGGCGUGCGAUACAGGGUGACAGCCCCGUACACAAAAAUGCACAUACUGUGAGCUCGAUGAGUAGGGCGGGACACGUGGUAUCCUGUCUGAAUAUGGGGGGACCAUCCUCCAAGGCUAAAUACUCCUGACUGACCGAUAGUGAACCAGUACCGUGAGGGAAAGGCGAAAAGAACCCCGGCGAGGGGAGUGAAAAAGAACCUGAAACCGUGUACGUACAAGCAGUGGGAGCACGCUUAGGCGUGUGACUGCGUACCUUUUGUAUAAUGGGUCAGCGACUUAUAUUCUGUAGCAAGGUUAACCGAAUAGGGGAGCCGAAGGGAAACCGAGUCUUAACUGGGCGUUAAGUUGCAGGGUAUAGACCCGAAACCCGGUGAUCUAGCCAUGGGCAGGUUGAAGGUUGGGUAACACUAACUGGAGGACCGAACCGACUAAUGUUGAAAAAUUAGCGGAUGACUUGUGGCUGGGGGUGAAAGGCCAAUCAAACCGGGAGAUAGCUGGUUCUCCCCGAAAGCUAUUUAGGUAGCGCCUCGUGAAUUCAUCUCCGGGGGUAGAGCACUGUUUCGGCAAGGGGGUCAUCCCGACUUACCAACCCGAUGCAAACUGCGAAUACCGGAGAAUGUUAUUACGGGAGACACACGGCGGGUGCUAACGUCCGUCGUGAAGAGGGAAACAACCCAGACCGCCAGCUAAGGUCCCAAAGUCAUGGUUAAGUGGGAAACGAUGUGGGAAGGCCCAGACAGCCAGGAUGUUGGCUUAGAAGCAGCCAUCAUUUAAAGAAAGCGUAAUAGCUCACUGGUCGAGUCGGCCUGCGCGGAAGAUGUAACGGGGCUAAACCAUGCACCGAAGCUGCGGCAGCGACGCUUAUGCGUUGUUGGGUAGGGGAGCGUUCUGUAAGCCUGUGAAGGUGUGCUGUGAGGUAUGCUGGAGGUAUCAGAAGUGCGAAUGCUGACAUAAGUAACGAUAAAGCGGGUGAAAAGCCCGCUCGCCGGAAGACCAAGGGUUCCUGUCCAACGUUAAUCGGGGCAGGGUGAGUCGACCCCUAAGGCGAGGCCGAAAGGCGUAGUCGAUGGGAAACAGGUUAAUAUUCCUGUACUUGGUGUUACUGCGAAGGGGGGACGGAGAAGGCUAUGUUGGCCGGGCGACGGUUGUCCCGGUUUAAGCGUGUAGGCUGGUUUUCCAGGCAAAUCCGGAAAAUCAAGGCCGAGGCGUGAUGACGAGGCACUACGGUGCUGAAGCAACAAAUGCCCUGCUUCCAGGAAAAGCCUCUAAGCAUCAGGUAACAUCAAAUCGUA
rnacentral:rRNA from 1 species